rnacentral:rRNA from 1 species
GAUGUCGAUUUGGAGGUUGUGCCCUUGAGGCGUGGCUUCCGGAGCUAACGCGUUAAAUCGACCGCCUGGGGAGUACGGCCGCAAGGUUAAAACUCAAAUGAAUUGACGGGGGCCCGCACAAGCGGUGGAGCAUGUGGUUUAAUUCGAUGCAACGCGAAGAACCUUACCUACUCUUGACAUCCAGAGAAYUUAGCAGAGAUGCUUUAGUGCCUUCGGGAACUCUGAGACAGGUGCUGCAUGGCUGUCGUCAGCUCGUGUUGUGAAAUGUUGGGUUAAGUCCCGCAACGAGCGCAACCCUUAUCCUUUGUUGCCAGCGAUUCGGUCGGGAACUCAAAGGAGACUGCCGGUGAUAAACCGGAGGAAGGUGGGGAUGACGUCAAGUCAUCAUGGCCCUUACGAGUAGGGCUACACACGUGCUACAAUGGCGUAUACAAAGAGAAGCGACCUCGCGAGAGCAAGCGGAACUCAUAAAGUACGUCGUAGUCCGGAUUGGAGUCUGCAACUCGACUCCAUGAAGUCGGAAUCGCUAGUAAUCGUAGAUCAGAAUGCUACGGUGAAUACGUUCCCGGGCCUUGUACACACCGCCCGUCACACCAUGGGGAGUGGGUUGCAAAAGAAGUAGGUAGCUUAACCUUCGGGAGGGCGCUUACCACUUUGUGAUUCAUGACUGGGGUGAAGUCGUA